AACGAACGCUGGCGGCAGGCUAAACACAUGCAAGUCGAGCGCCCCGAAAGGGGAGCGGCAGACGGGUGAGUAACGCGUGGGAAUGUGCCCUUUGGUCUGGAAUAACUCAGGGAAACUUGAGCUAAUACCGGAUAAGCCCUUCGGGGGAAAGAUUUAUUGCCAUUGGAGCAGCCCGCGUCAGAUUAGCUAGUUGGUGAGGUAAAAGCUGACAAAGGCGAUGAUCUGUAGCUGGUCUGAGAGGACGACCAGCCACACUGGGACUGAGACACGGCCCAGACUCCUACGGGAGGCAGCAGUGGGGAAUAUUGGACAAUGGGGGCAACCCUGAUCCAGCCAUGCCGCGUGAGUGAUGAAGGCCUUAGGGUUGUAAAGCUCCUUUACUCGGGAAGAUAAUGACUGUACCGAGAGAAUAAGCCCCGGCUAACUUCGUGCCAGCCGCCGCCGUAA
rnacentral:rRNA from 1 species